rnacentral:rRNA from 1 species
GGCGGCUCGUUGUGGAACGGCCGUCGCUCAACGGAUAAAAGGUACCUCGGGGAUAACAGGCUGAUCUUGCCCAAGAGUCCAUAUCGACGGCAUGGUUUGGCACCUCGAUGUCGGCUCGUCGCAUCCUGGGGCUGGAGUAGGUCCCAAGGGUUGGGCUGUUCGCCCAUUAAAGCGGUACGCGAGCUGGGUUCAGAACGUCGUGAGACAGUUCGGUCCCUAUCCUCUGCGCGCGUUGG